AUUGAACGCUGGCGGCAGGCCUAACACAUGCAAGUCGAACGAGUGGCGGACGGGUGAGUAAUGUCUGGGAAACUGCCCGAUGGAGGGGGAUAACUACCGGAAACAGUAGCUAAUACCGCAUACCAUCGGAUGUGCCCAGAUGGGAUUAGCUAGUAGGUGGGGUAAAGGCUCACCUAGGCGACGAUCCCUCGCUGGUCUGAGAGGAUGACCAGCCACACGGGAACUGAGACACGGUCCAGACGCCUACGGGAGGCAGCAGUGGGGAAUAUUGCACAAUGGGCGAAAGCCUGAUGCAGCCAUGCCGCGUGUAUGAAGAAGGCCUUCGGGUUGUAAAGUACUUUCAGCGAGGAGGCGUUACUCACAGAAUAAGCACCGGCUAACUCCGUGCCAGCAGCCGCGGUAAUAC
rnacentral:rRNA from 1 species